UGGCGAUGAUGACACUUAGGACACCUUUGAAAUCAAAACAUGAAACUAACUUUAUAUCUGAGCUAC